rnacentral:lncRNA from 1 species
CAAAGUAAGAGAUAAUUUUUAUCUGCCUCUGUCCUCCAGCAAUAGUAGGACUAGGUAUUGUAAACUUUAUUAUUUUCUCAAUAAAUGCAUUUCUUUCACCAAACCAUCUUAUUACAAAUUGUAAUUAGAUGCUAACAGCAGAUAGACUAAUUUUAAAGUAGCAAGUGUUAACUCAUAGAGACUUGGCACAGGUUUUAUCUCUAACAUCAAUUUAAUCUCAUUCCAUUUACUGAAACUUCAGUCCUGCUAGUACCCAUACCUCACACAGUUACCUAAGCCAAGCAAUUCACAGCAAAUUUAGGAAUGACCAUCUCACUAUGGGCAGAAACAGUUAUUUUUUGUUUUCAUCAUAAAAAUGAAGCCUUAUCAGAGUAUUUUAUAUCCCAAGAAACACCUGCUAUAUGUGUGUCUAUCUUUGUCAUCAUGAUCAUUCCUGGAAUAUUUAACAAAUAGUUUUAGCAUUACGGUUUGCAGCAAACAUUACAGUUUGCCACUUGUUAAUUCACCUAGUUAGAGGAGCUGCAUUAGCCCUAUUACCAAUUAGCCCAUCAGUAGUCUCGAUCAGGUUUAUUAUUUUAGUACUUCUUAUGGUUUUAGAGUCCACAGUUAGCUGAAUUCAAUCAUAUAUCUUCACAUCUUCAGGAAGCCUAUAUUUACAAAUAAC